rnacentral:pre_miRNA from 1 species
CGGAUGAUAUAGAUGCGACGGAGUUUGACACGAGCAUGUAUCAUUUCAGUGAGCAUAUACCUCCUGCGAGGGAAAGCAGGAGUUUGAGCGAAGCUCACAGAAACAACAACAAGCUACAAAAGUGGUGCAUGAAACAGGACAAGUUACUCGCCAAGUGCCUCAGGGCUAUCAAGUUUAUGAAGAACAAGCUGCUCCUCUUCCACUACAGCUAUUCCG